CUUGUUUCAGGAAACAAAAUGUAGUUUCAAGCUUUAUUUGUACUUUUCUUCACUGUACUUCGAUCAGCAUCAGGGUAAUAAAGUUACUUAAUCACCCUACAUCAGGGUGAUCAUCAUAUCCUUCCGACGUAGUAAAUUCCUUCAGAGAUGAUAAUCUGGACCUGGAGUUAGAAAAUAUAUCUGAUGAAUAUCUUGAAGCUCUGCUGUCUGAGGAUAUCAUGUUUUGUGGACCUGUUAAAGCUGUUGCCGGAAAGAAGAAGAAAAAAGAGUGAGUCUCAACCCGUCUCAGUGUUCGUAGAUCCGCUAGAUUUCUCAGGGAUGCAAGCCCAUCUGAAGCUGGUUCUGUUUUCUCUCUCAUGGAUCUACCAGUUAAACCUGUCAAAACUAAUCAAAUACCUCCUAGAGACGAAUCAUCCAACCAAACCUGUGACGAGAAUACGAAGGUUUGCGAAGGAACCGAAUUUCAAGUUUUAAAAGAGAUAAAUUUUUUGUCAAAGGACAAUGUAUCUACACAAGAAAUAGCAAUAAAACAAAGACAUAAACAUAAACGAAUAAACCCCGCAGAGAAGGAGAAUUGUGAAAGGAGUAAAGCUAAACCUGAACAGAAGAAAAGGAAAAGAAACCCGGUUUCCUUGAUGUUUGAGGAAGACGAGUAAGGAUUUUUGAUCAAGGAUUCUUCGGAUAAUAUCAAUAAUACAUGUUGGAAGCGAGUUACACCUGAACCUCGUUCUAGUCCUAAUACCUCCCCGGAGAAGUUCAUCCAAAUCAAACCUAAUUUAGUUUGACUCAUCUUUGUAAAAUUGACUUAUAUAUGAAAUCCAGUGUUUUAAAAUAGUUUCACAGAAAAAUGGCCGCCAGUUCUAACUUAAGGCUAUUAUGGGGGGGGGGGGAUGAACUACUCAUACGUUGUGUAUCAUAAAUCUUGAAAGUCAGCGGAAAUCCCUAGAGUUUAACUCUCGAACCGCCCCCCCCCCCCGGGGGAUUUGUAGUAUUAUCUGUUGCAAUGAUUAGUACGAUCUUUAUUAUCCAUGUUUACUAAUAUAUCUUAUCUAUGUUAAUGUUGACCCUGACCGGCCAUUCCAGUCAGUUCUGUUUACCUGUAUAAAUUAAUUAGUUGUA